AAGUCGUAACAAGGUUUCCGUAGGUGAACCUGCGGAAGGAUCAUUACUGAAGAAGAAUGGGGUCUUGAGACUGCUCUCUUGCGUGCUCGACCCUUUCAUCCACACACACACCCCUUUGUGCACUAUGGAGACAUGAUGGUCUCCCUUUUUAUAAACACCUAGUUAUAUGCAUGUCUUUUUGUUACUCUACGGAGUUUAUAAUAACAACUUUCAACAACGGAUCUCUUGGCUUUC
rnacentral:misc_RNA from 1 species